rnacentral:rRNA from 1 species
UACGAGGGGGGCAAGUGUUGUUCGGAAUUACUGGGCGUAAAGGGAGCGUAGGCGGGCUCUUAAGUUGGAUGUUUAAAACCGGGGCCUAACCCCGGCGUGGCAUCCAAAACUGGGAGUCUUGAAUGGGACAGAGGCCAGUGGAAUUAGAGGUGUAGCGGUGGAAUGCGUAGAUAUCUCUAAGAACACCAGUUGCGAAGGCGGCUGGCUGGGUCCACAUUGACGCUGAGGCUCGAAAGCGUGGGGAGCAAACCGG